UUUAGGAUCCUAUCAAAUAGAAUAGUCUAUAAGUAACUGAGUAGUUAAGAGCUAAUUACUUUGUGAUUUUA
rnacentral:tRNA from 1 species